UACGUAGGGGGCAAGCGUUGUCCGGAUUUAUUGGGCGUAAAGAGCGUGUAGGCGGCCAGAUAGGUCCGUUGUGAAAACUCGAGGCUCAACCUCGAGACGCCGAUGGAAACCAUCUGGCUAGAGUCCGGAAGAGGAGAGUGGAACUCCUGGUGUAGCGGUGAAAUGCGCAGAUAUCAGGAAGAACACCCGUGGCUAAGGCGGCUCUCUAGUACGGUACUGACGCUGAGACGCGAAAGCGUGGGGAGCGAACAGG
rnacentral:rRNA from 1 species